GAUGAACGCUAGCUACAGGCUUAACACAUGCAAGUCGAGGGGAAACGAUAUUGGAAGCUUGCUUCCGAUAGGCGUCGACCGGCGCACGGGUGAGUAACGCGUAUCCAACCUGCCCAUCACUUGGGGAUAACCUUGCGAAAGUAAGACUAAUACCCAAUGACGUCUCUAGAAGACAUCUGAAAGAGAUUAAAGAUUUAUCGGUGAUGGAUGGGGAUGCGUCUGAUUAGCUUGUUGGCGGGGUAACGGCCCACCAAGGCGACGAUCAGUAGGGGUUCUGAGAGGAAGGUCCUCCACAUUGGAACUGAGACACGGUCCAAACUCCUACGGGAGGCAGCAGUGAGGAAUAUUGGUCAAUGGACGAGAGUCUGAACCAGCCAAGUAGCGUGCAGGAAGACGGCCCUAUGGGUUGUAAACUGCUUUUAUAAGGGAAUAAAGUGAGUCUCGUGAGACUUUUUGCAUGUACCUUAUGAAUAAGGACCGGCUAAUUCCGUGCCAGCAGCCG
rnacentral:rRNA from 1 species